AGAAGGGCGUACUUAUUUUUGGGGAGAUGCCUAAAGCCAAACGGCGGCUGACCAAUGGUCCGAAGCCUGGAGGCGUGGCUCCUCUCUUGCCCCGCCCCUCCUACAAAGCGAUUCGUUGCAGAAGGGACCCCGAAACCGGUGCAUCUUGGGAGCGGCCCAGACCUGUACGCGGCGUCUUGUGGGGGCAUUGUCAGGUCUGAGGGGGCGGCGCUGAAAUUCAGCGCAGUGCGUCUCCGGAGACCUGCUCGAGUCUUGUGGGAGGUGACAGAACUCGUCCUCCCAUGUCUGGCUGCGAGCUGCCCAUGGGCACGUGCCCGGACAUGUGCCCGGCCGCCGAGCGCUCCCAGAGGGAAAAGGAGCACCGCCUGCACCGCUUCGAGGUGGCACCGGGGUGCCACGGGGACCGUCCCCGCGCCGACCCGCAGCGAUCGGUGAAGGAGUACAGCCGGCCGGCCGCCGGCAAGGCCCGGCCACCACCAAGCCAGCUGCGUCCGCCGUCCGUGCUGCUGGCCACCGUGCGCUACCUGGCCAGCGAGGUGGCGGAGCGCGCCGAUGCCUCCCGCGCCGAGGUGGCCAACUUCGUGGCGGACCGGGUGCGCUCUGUGCGACUAGAUCUGGCCCUACAAGGUGUGGGCGACGCCGAGGCGGCAGUGGUGCUGGAGGCGGCCCUGGCCGUGCUGCUGGCAGUGGUGGCACGGCUCGGGCCCGACUCAGCGAGUGGGCCAGCGGACCCAGUGCUGCUGCAGGUUCAGGUGCAGGAAGGCUUCGGUUCGCUGCGGCGCUGCUACGCCCAGGGCGCCGGGCCGCACCCCCACCAGGCAGCCUUCCAGGGUCUCUUUCUGCUCUAUAACCUAGGCUCGGUGGAGGCCCUUCGUGAGGUUCUGCAACUGCCCACUGCCCUGCGUUCCUGCCCGGCCCUGCGCAUGGCCUUGGCUGUGGAUUCGGCCUUCCGCGAAGGCAAUGCUGCCCGCCUGUUCCGCCUGCUCCGGAUCCUGCCCUACUUGCAGAGCUGCGCUGUGCAGUGCCACGUGGGCCGUGCCCGCCGUGGAGCCCUGGCCCGUCUCGCUCGUGCCCUGAGCACCCCCAAGGGCCAGACUGUGCCCCUGGGCUUCAUGGUCCACCUGUUGGCCUUGGAUGGACCCGAGGAGGCACAGGACCUGUGUCAGGCCCACGGACUGGACGUGGAUGGACAGGGGAGAGUUGUGUUCCUGAGGGGUCGCUACACUGAGGAGGGACUGCCACCUGCCGGGACCUGUGAAGCGUUGGUGGGGAGCAAACUUGGAGGGCGCACCCUGGAGGAGGUGGUGAUGGCAGAAGAGGAAGAUGUGGCUGUGACCAGGCCCAAGGCCCCAGCAUGAGUUUUCCAGAGCCCAGAACUGGCCCAGCCGCCCCGCAUACCAAACACCGAGAUGUCCACGUUGAUGUAGGCCACGGUGCGCUCCCGCAGCUUGCAGAAGAACUCCUGCGCGUGGGAGGGGUGCCGUCAGCCCGGCGGUGCCCCGCCCCAGAAGUCCCCUCCGCCGCCGACCCGGCGAGGCCCACUCACCUCCGUGAACUCCGUGGAGCCAAUGAGCCCAAACUCCUCUGCCCCCCAGCUCGCAAACACGACUGAUCUGCGGGGACGCCAGGUGUGCUUUGAGAAGACCUCCUGACUCUCCACCUCCGAUCUCUCUUCCGCACGUUCCGUGCAAGCCUUGGCAUAACUUUCUUCACUUGGUGAUAUAAUACAACCAUGUUCUCCUUAGGGCAUUAUCCAUAUGUAGCCAAUUCUUACAAUAAUGCUUUUAGGGAGAGACUGUGGUCUCCAUUUCAUAGUCGAGAACACUGAACCACCGAGAAGUUAAAUGACUAUGCCCAGGGUUACACAGCUGAUGGGCAUCAGAGCAAGGGUUCAGGUCCAGGGUCUGGCUCCAUAGCCCAGGAGCUUGAGCAGUGCCCCACACUGCCUCCUAGCAUCCUGCAGCCUGCCUUCCAUCUCCGUUCUCUAUGCCCACACUGCUCUCGCCACAGUCCCCAGCUACUUCCCAGAAGCCUCCGCGGUUCUGGCUUGUCCCCUCACCUUUUCCAGAUUCCCCUUCACCCGAUUCAUGCUCCUGGGUGUGUUCCCAAUCUCGCUGCCACUCAGUCCCUUUGAUCAUUCCUCAUCUCUUUGUUGUAAAUGAAAUCUUUUUAAGUAUAAAAUGAUCACAUGCUUGCAAUGACAAAUUCCCAAACUUUUUCCUGCUGAAAAUUCAUCACCCCAACCUAAUCAGACAAACCCAAACCGAGGAACAUUCAAAAUAAUACCAGGAUCACGAAAGGCAAAGAACAUCUAAGGAACUGUUCCAGAUUACACACGCAACUGCCACCUGGAGUGUGUGGUACUGGAUCAGUUCUUGGACCAGGAAAUUCCUUUGCUCUUAAGGUUAUUGUAGGAACAAUCGGCAAAAUUGUUAAUUUCCUGAUUUCCUGAUUCUGAUCAUCAUACUCUGGUUGUGCAAGAAAAUGUCCUUUUUUUUAAGGAAAUAUACAGUAAUGUGUUUAUGUGCAAAGGUGCAGCAUUUCUGCAUUGUUAAGCACUUCAGAAAAAAAUAUAAAGACAGGUCGAGCAAACAUGGUAAAACAAACAUUAAUAUUAGGAGUAUCUGAGUAAAGGGUAUAUGAGGCUUUUUGGUAUUAUUUUUGCAACUCUUGUUAAGUCUGAAAUUACAUCAGAAAUCAAACCCUUGAGCAGCAAAACAGAGAAGUUCCUGCCCUAUAACAACUCAGCCUUUCUACACGAGUUUGCCCGCCUCCUGCUCCCUCUCACUGGAUCUCAAGCACACCUAUGGUUCCAUAUACCAUUUAUGCCGCCAACUCCCCGGUUUAUCUCUGCAGUCUCUUUUCUGACCUGGACAUCAGCACUUUCAACUGCCUGCUUGCCCACUCCCCGGGGCUGCUCAGACCAGAAAUCAGAAACCCGGGAGCCCUCCACCCAUGCUCUCCUUCACCUGUCACCAACAGACCCCAAGGUCUUCACACUGUCUGCUUCCCGCUGCCCCCACCCUGGUCCAAGCCCCACCAUCCCUCCUGGCCCUGAGGAUGAAAGACUGGUCCCUCAGCCUUACCUUUCCCCCCUGUAGCACAAGAAGCUGUUUAAAAUGUGGACCCAAUUAUGUCGCCCUUUUGAUUAAAACCCUUCACCAUCUUUCCCACCCUUAAACUGAAUUCCUCUGUUCCCAGCUGGGCUGUCAGGCCACGUGGCUUGGUUCUGGAGCUCUGUCACCUGGUCCAGCCCCUCCUUCCCGCCUGCUGUGCCCUCCACCAGCCGCCUCUAUGGGGAGGCUUCCCUGAGUCCUGGCUUGCAGCUGGAAAGCCCCUUAGAUAUUUUUUAUAGGAUAUAUUCACAGUUGUCAUCACAUGCAGAAACUCCUAAGUGUUCACUGUGGCAUCUCCAGUGCCUAGAACUCACCUGGCACACAGCAGGCAGGCGGGACACAUUUGCCUCAGCUGGGCUGAAGCUCCUGAGAGCAGAGCCCAGGCACUGCCCUGCCCACGGCACCCAGCCUCCUUCCACUGGAGGGCCACAGGAGGCUCUCAGGAGCUGCUGGGCUCCUCCAGCAGAGCCAGGGCUGGUGUCCUGCCAUGCCUGCCCCCAGGGUCCUGAGGCUCAGCACAAGGGGACAGGAGAGAAGAGA